rnacentral:rRNA from 1 species
AACGAACGCUGGCGGCAUGCCUAACACAUGCAAGUCGAACGAUGCCUUCGGGCAUAGUGGCGCACGGGUGCGUAACGCGGGGGAAUCUGCCUUUCGGUUCGGAAUAACUCAGGGAAACUUGAGCUAAUACCGGAUAACGUCGCAAGACCAAAGAUUUAUCACCGAAAGAUGAGCCCGCGUAGGAUUAGCGAGUUGGUGAGGUAAAGGCUCACCAAGGCGACGAUCCUUAGCUGGUCUGAGAGGAUGAUCAGCCACACUGGGACUGAGACACGGCCCAGACUCCUAGGGGCGGUAGCAGUGGGGAAUAUUGGACAAGGGGCGAAAGCCUGAUCCAGCAAUGCCGCGUGAGUGAUGAAGGCCUUAGGUUUGUAAAGCUCUUUUACCCGGGAAGAUAAUGCCGGUACCGGGAGAAUAAGCCCCGGCAACUUCCGU